UACUAAACAAAAUAAAAUAAAUAAAACACUAUGGAAGAAAAAUAUAUCAAAGAAAAAACUUAUAUAGUCCUAUAACCCAUCCCAACCUUGAGGGGGGAAAUGUAUAAUUCAUGCAAACUUGUUAAAGGAUUUGUAGGGAGUAGAAAAAGCUAAACAUGCUAUGGUGAAGAUGGUAUAAAGUUUGAAAGAAUAUUUGCAUUAAAACUUGGAUUAAUAGUUUGUGGGAAAGGUCUUGAAAGCUUAGCACGCCAUUUUACAUCAUGAUUUUUCUCUUUUUUGUAUUUGGUGGGGGAAAGAAAUUUUCAAAUUUAACCCAACCAAAUGAAAUGCGGUGAAUAUGAUGAUAGGUCCUACUCAAACAAAUUAUCUAAAACUUUCCUACAAUGAAAGAGGAUGGAAAAGAAAGGACUGUAUGGAAGCACCUGUGCAAAGCAAAGACAGCAGAAGGAAACCAAAAUGAGAAAUGUCAAGAAUCUUUCAACCAAAC